ACAGGGAGACAACAAAAUGUUUAAUAUUAUUUUGUCACCUUAGGUCGAUCGGUAUCUCACGUUCUUAAUUUAUUAAGAAUUUCAUUUCCUAAGUUUUUCUAGGUCACACCCAUUAUUUUUCCUGGGCCAUUAGCUCAGGUGGUUAGAGCGCACCCCUGAUAAGGGUGAGGUCCCUGGUUCAAGUCCAGGAUGGCCCAUAUCUCUAUGUUGGGGGUAUAGCUCAGUUGGUAGAGCGCCUGCUUUGCAAGCAGGAUGUCAGCGGUUCGAGUCCGCUUACCUCCACUGAUUACCACCUCUUCCAUAAUCUUUAGAAAGGAAAUGUUUUGAGUCGUGAUCAAAUUCUGAAAGAAUCUAGCUUCCUAAUGAAAAUAUUAAGAUGCUGGACUCAUUGAAUUAAUUUCAUUGUUUUCAGAGAACCUUGACAACUGCAUAGAUUAUUUUUAAAGACAAUAAGCAUUUUUAGUAAUGCAGAUUUAUUAUUUGUGCGAAUGCAUUAAUAACAAUUCUAUUAAGCUGAUGCUUCAAUUUUGAAGUUAUU
rnacentral:tRNA from 1 species